CAAAUGACAUUUGGUGUCGACACUUGCUUUUGAUGUUUUUGCUGUUGGUUUGUUAAAGGCAAAGAGCUUUCACGCCGGGCGAAUGGAGGAGUCACCAUCUCAGCUGAUGGACGUUCCAUGCAGCCUGGAGCUGAAGAAACAGACUGAAGCACAAAAAGGAUCACGGACUAUAGAUCUGCACCUCUUACAAGGAUGCCAGAAUUUUGGAGGUUGCAAAGAGGCAGAAAAUCUGCAAACUUUACUAAAGAGGGUAAGUAUUUAAUACAACUGUAAACAAGUGCAGAUUCUGUGGGGCUCUGGAAGUGCUCCUGGCAUUCCCUGGUGUGAAGAAGUGGGAAUGGGCUAGCAAGCAAGGAUGCCACAUGCCAUAUUCUCUUUUAACUCCACAUUUUACUCGUACAACUUCACACUUUCAGGCUGAAUAUCCCAGCAGAGCUAUUGCCUUAUUAAAUGGAGUGGUAAUUCAUAUGUUCCAGCUCUCUGUAACUAAACUUAAGGAAUUAUGGAGUGAUGGCUCUGGUUCCACGGCAUGGCAGUAACCUGCAGUGAGGAAAACCAGAGAAAUACUGCAGUUGGGUAACUCACCCCACAAAAGGAAGAGGUAAACAGAAAUUAACAGGUGGUUGGAAAUGCAUAUCCUGCUCUUCCAGAUAAACAC
rnacentral:lncRNA from 1 species